CUCUAUAACACCUACAGGUCAUAUGUAUGAUUGUUAGGUUUAUUUGCUGCUUAGUCCUUGAUCAGAAAUGCAACUCCCAAAUAUAAUAUAGUAGGCCCCCUUACCCAUAGUUUCAGUUACCUGAGGUCAAUUGUGGUCCAAAAAUAUUAAACGGAAAAUUCCAGAAAUAAAUAAUUCAUGAAUUUUAAAUGGCAUGCUGCUGUGAGUAGCUUGAUGAAAUCUCCAGCCUUCCUGCUCCGUCCCACCAAGGAUGUGAAUCAUCCCUUUGUUCAGGGGAUCCGUGCUGUCUGCCUCCCCACCCAUUAGUCACUUUGUAGCCAUCUAGAUUAUCAGAUCAACUGUCACUGUACUGCAGUGCUUGUCUUGAGGAACCCUUAUUUUACUCAAUAAUGGCCCCAAAGCACAAGAGUGAUUAUGGUAGCAUACUGUUAUAAUUGUUGUAUUUUAUUA
rnacentral:lncRNA from 1 species